rnacentral:rRNA from 1 species
UACGGAGGGUGCAAGCGUUAUCCGGAUUCACUGGGUUUAAAGGGUGUGUAGGCGGGUGUUUAAGUCAGUGGUGAAAUCUCCAGGCUCAACCUGGAAACUGCCAUUGAUACUAUUCAUCUUGAAUUCUGUUGAGGUGGGCGGAAUAUAUCAUGUAGCGGUGAAAUGCUUAGAUAUGAUAUAGAACACCGAUUGCGAAGGCAGCUCACUAAACAGCGAUUGACGCUGAGGCACGAAAGCGUGGGGAUCAAACAGG